rnacentral:rRNA from 1 species
UGAACGCUAGCGGCAGGCCUAACACAUGCAAGUCGAGGGGUAACAGAAGUAGCUUGCUACUUGCUGACGACCGGCGCACGGGUGCGUAACGCGUAUACAAUCUACCUUUUGCUGAGGGAUAGCCCAGAGAAAUUUGGAUUAAUACCUCAUGGUAUGUAUUAAUGGCAUCAUUAAUAUAUUAAAGGUUACGGCAAAAGAUGAGUAUGCGUUCUAUUAGCUAGAUGGUGUGGUAACGGCACACCAUGGCAACGAUAGAUAGGGGCCCUGAGAGGGGGAUCCCCCACACUGGUACUGAGACACGGACCAGACUCCUACGGGAGGCAGCAGUGAGGAAUAUUGGGCAAUGGAGGCAACUCUGACCCAGCCAUGCCGCGUGCAGGAAGACUGCCCUAUGGGUUGUAAACUGCUUUUAUACAGGAAGAAACACUCGGACGUGUCCGAGCUUGACGGUACUGUAAGAAUAAGGAUCGGCUAACUCC